GACGGAGGGUGCUAGCGUUAUCCGGAAUUAUUGGGCGUAAAGCGUCCGCAGGUGGCUGUUCAAGUCUGCUGUCAAAGCGCAGAGCUUAACUCUGUACAGGCGGUGGAAACUGAAGAGCUAGAGUAUGGUAGGGGGAGAGGGAAUUCCCGGUGUAGCGGUGAAAUGCGUAGAUAUCGGGAAGAACACCAGUGGCGAAAGCGCUCUACUGGGCCAUAACUGACACUGAGGGACGAAAGCUAGGGGAGCGAAAGGG
rnacentral:rRNA from 1 species